rfam:Trichobilharzia regenti genome assembly, scaffold: TRE_scaffold0014719
GUGCUGAUGAAGAGUCCCAAUCUAGGACGAAACAGCUGUCCAGUAC